AUACAUGCAAGUCGAGCGGACAGAAGGGAGCUUGCUCCCGGAUGUUAGCGGCGGACGGGUGAGUAACACGUGGGUAACCUGCCUGUAAGACUGGGAUAACUCCGGGAAACCGGAGCUAAUACCGGAUAGUUCCUUGAACCGCAUGGUUCAAGGAUGAAAGACGGUUUCGGCUGUCACUUACAGAUGGACCCGCGGCGCAUUAGCUAGUUGGUGAGGUAACGGCUCACCAAGGCGACGAUGCGUAGCCGACCUGAGAGGGUGAUCGGCCACACUGGGACUGAGACACGGCCCAGACUCCUACGGGAGGCAGCAGUAGGGAAUCUUCCGCAAUGGACGAAAGUCUGACGGAGCAACGCCGCGUGAGUGAUGAAGGUUUUCGGAUCGUAAAGCUCUGUUGUUAGGGAAGAACAAGUGCAAGAGUAACUGCUUGCACCUUGACGGUACCUAACCAGAAAGCCACGGCUAACUACGUGCCAGCAGCCGCGGUAAUACGUAGGUGGCAAGCGUUGUCCGGAAUUAUUGGGCGUAAAGGGCUCGCAGGCGGUUUCUUAAGUCUGAUGUGAAAGCCCCCGGCUCAACCGGGGAGGGUCAUUGGAAACUGGGAAACUUGAGUGCAGAAGAGGAGAGUGGAAUUCCACGUGUAGCGGUGAAAUGCGUAGAGAUGUGGAGGAACACCAGUGGCGAAGGCGACUCUCUGGUCUGUAACUGACGCUGAGGAGCGAAAGCGUGGGGAGCGAACAGGAUUAGAUACCCUGGUAGUCCACGCCGUAAACGAUGAGUGCUAAGUGUUAGGGGGUUUCCGCCCCUUAGUGCUGCAGCUAACGCAUUAAGCACUCCGCCUGGGGAGUACGGUCGCAAGACUGAAACUCAAAGGAAUUGACGGGGGCCCGCACAAGCGGUGGAGCAUGUGGUUUAAUUCGAAGCAACGCGAAGAACCUUACCAGGUCUUGACAUCCUCUGACAACCCUAGAGAUAGGGCUUUCCCUUCGGGGACAGAGUGACAGGUGGUGCAUGGUUGUCGUCAGCUCGUGUCGUGAGAUGUUGGGUUAAGUCCCGCAACGAGCGCAACCCUUGAUCUUAGUUGCCAGCAUUCAGUUGGGCACUCUAAGGUGACUGCCGGUGACAAACCGGAGGAAGGUGGGGAUGACGUCAAAUCAUCAUGCCCCUUAUGACCUGGGCUACACACGUGCUACAAUGGACAGAACAAAGGGCUGCGAGACCGCAAGGUUUAGCCAAUCCCACAAAUCUGUUCUCAGUUCGGAUCGCAGUCUGCAACUCGACUGCGUGAAGCUGGAAUCGCUAGUAAUCGCGGAUCAGCAUGCCGCGGUGA
rnacentral:rRNA from 2 species